rnacentral:rRNA from 1 species
CAGGAUGAACGCUAGCGACAGGCCUAACACAUGCAAGUCGAGGGGCAGCACAAGGAGCAAUCUGAGGUGGCGACCGGCGCACGGGUGAGUAACACGUAUGCAACCUGCCUGUAAGCGGGGAAUAACCCGUUGAAAGACGGACUAAUACCGCAUAAUACUAAAUUACUGCAUGGUAAUUUAUUUAAACAUUUAUGGCUUACAGAUGGGCAUGCGCAUGAUUAGCUAGUUGGAGAGGUAACGGCUCCCCAAGGCAACGAUCAUUAGGGGUUCUGAGAGGAAGGUCCCCCACACUGGUACUGAGACACGGACCAGACUCCUACGGGAGGCAGCAGUGAGGAAUAUUGGUCAAUGGACGAGAGUCUGAACCAGCCAAGUCGCGUGCAGGAAGAAUGUCCUAUGGAUUGUAAACUGCUUUUGCAGGGGAAUAAAGUGCAUCACGUGCGAUGUUUUGUAUGUACUCUGCGAAUAAGGAUCGGCUAACUCCGUGCCAGCCGCCGC